GUGAACUUAGUUUAACAAAAAACCUUUGAUUUGCAAUCAAAAAACCUAGGACAAACUCCCCUAGAGUUCACAA
rnacentral:tRNA from 1 species